CGUAGGUGGCAAGCGUUGUCCGGAUUUAUUGGGUUUAAAGGGUGCGUAGGCGGCCCUGUAAGUCAGUGGUGAAAUGCUCUAGCUUAACUAGAGAGGUGCCAGUGAUACUGCAGGGCUUGAGUACAGAUGAGGUAGGCGGAAUUGACGGUGUAGCGGUGAAAUGCAUAGAUAUCGUCAAGAACACCUAUAGCGAAGGCAGCUUACUGGGCUGUAACUGACGCUGAGGCACGAAAGUGUGGGGAUCAAACAGGAUUAGAUACCCUGGUAGUCCACACUGUAAACGUUGAUUACUCGCUGUUUGCGAUACACAGCAAGCGGCUUAGCGAAAGCGAUAAGUAAUCCACCUGGGGAGUACGCCGGCAACGGUG
rnacentral:rRNA from 1 species